UGGAUUCACAAUGAUGUGAAAAUUUAUUUUUUAUAAAUUUUAAGUAAGAAAGUUAAAUUGGUAAUGUUACAUAAUUUUUUUUUUUUUUUUUUUGACUUUUCUAUUGGGAUAUUUAUUUUGGGCCAUCUAAAAAUAAAUUUUGUUUUUGGACGAAAUUUAAAAGCAAAGGGAAAAUUGGUAAUGUGUAAUUGGCGGGUCCCACUCUUGAUAUCAUGGGUUUUGUAAGUUUUGUAUAUAUGAUUGUAUAUACAUUUAUAUUGUAUCUUGUCUGAUGAAAAGGGGCCAGCCGAAGUGGAAGGAGGAAAACAAUUGAAAUGGUGAUGAUGAUUUUGCGGGGCCACUAGUGGAGAAUAAUGGGAUUGAAUUUUAAGGCCUGCUUGGAUCAGAACUCCCAAAACAGUUUUCUGUUUUGAAAGUUACCAAAAUCUGAAAACUGCCUUUUUGUUCACUUGGAUCUAUUUUCACAGAACAGUUUUUUAAAAACUGAGAACUCAUGGUAUCAGUUUUUAGAGAACACCUUUUUGCUGUUUUGUCAAUUUUUUAAAGCUCGGAGACCACAUAAUGAAAACACGGAGAACAAAAGUUGACUUAAAAAACGACGGAACCCUAUCUCGUUUAUAACGAAUGUCUUGGUUCCAUCAUCUCCUCAGCUAAAGAAGCCCUCCGUACCGUCCCUAUCCAAGCGCUCUCUCAGAUUUCUAAGCCAAAGUCUCUCUUCAACCUCUCUUUCAAUUUCUUGAAGCUUGUCUCUUAGACAAGAAAGUCGAUCUGAGAUUCUUUUCCUGCAAUUGUCUCUCUAUCCAGAAUUUCUUAAGACUUGGAAGAUCAAGCCCACUCUCUUAAACUCGAAGCUUGAAUAGAGAGCUAGUUGGUGCUCCAUCUGUGAAGAUCAAAGGCAACACUAAUAUACACUCAAAUUGAUUGAGAGACUAGAUGAUAUCAUAAGUUUUUUGAGAAAUUCUUCAGCUUCAGCAAAAGACCUAAAAGAAGGAACACCAUACAUCAUCAAGGGAAGAACUUUGAGGCCAAAAGCCUUAUGCAAUUGUCUCACUCUCAACACUGAAGCAAGAUCUCAUUUCAACAUUCUUCAACUUCACAAUUUCCUCACAAGCAUCAGUUACUUGAUUUCAAAAGCUUGUACAAUAGUCAAAGUUCUAUUCAUUGUGUAUGCAUGUAAGCUAAAUUAUAUUGUCUCUUAAACAUUUUAUCAUGCUAGUUUGGGUGGUUGUGGUGUGAGAAAGAUAUUGUAAACCGGGGUUGUUCUUGGUGAUUUAUUGUAAACAAGGAAAGUGAUUAGUGAAGAGUGUGUGUCCAUGUUGAAUUUUUAUGGCGGGUAUGCUCUCUUUAAGUAUGUACUAAAUACUUGAUCUUUUGGUUCAAUAUAAUAUUUCCAUUAAUUAAAAAAAAAAUUGUAUUUGAAUAUCA